ACACAUACAGUGUUGUGAACAAAAUAUUUGCCUCUUUUUCUAAUUUUCUCAACUUUUACAUAUUUUUGAUGCUGAAUGUUAUCUGAUCUUCAAAGAAAACAGAACAUUAGAUGAAGGGAACCUGAGUGAACAAAUAAAACAGCAUCACAUGCUUAUUUCAUGUAUUCCAUUAACACAAAGUUGUGCAACACCCAAUGCCUUGGUGUGAAAAAGUAAUUGCCCCCUCACACACAAAAACAGCUUGUACCAUCUUCAGUUGUAAUGACUCCAACCAAACUCUUCCUGUAGUGGUUGAUCAGUCGCUCACGUCUCUGUGGAGGCUUUUUGGCCCACGCUUCAAUGCAGAACAACCAGUUAUUGAGUAUAAAGGGGCAACUACUUUUUCACACAGGGGAAUUGGAUGUUGUAAAAUUGAUUUUUUUUUGUAAACUUAGGUUACCUUUAUCUAAUUUUAGGUUUUGGUUGAAGAUCUGAUAACAUGCACUAUUAAAAAUAUGCAAAAAUUUAGAAAAUCAGAAAGGGUUUAUACUUUUUCACGUGUUUGUAGAUAUCAAGGGCGUACACAGAAAAACAACCAAAUAACAGGAUGCGUCAACUCACUGUCACAAGGUGUUUGAAGCAUUGAAUAUAUACUAUACCUCUGAUCAGUUGCGAAAUGGCCUUGAAAGACAAGACUAGGGACUGUUGCAAGGUUAGGCUGAAACGACUUGAAAGACAAGACUAGGGACUGUUGCAAGGUUAGGCUGAAACGACUUGAAAGACAAGACUAGGGACUGUUGCAAGGUUAGGCUGAAACGACUUGAAAGACAAGACUAGGGACUGUUGCAAGGUUAGGCUGAAACGACUUGAAAGACAAGACUAGGGACUGUUGCAAGGUUAGGCUGAAACGACUUGAAAGACAAGACUAGGGACUGUUGCAAGGUUAGGCUGAAACGACUUGAAAGACAAGACUAGGGACUGUUGCAAGGUUAGGCUGAAACGACUUGAAAGACAAGACUAGGGACUGUUGCAAGGUUAGGCUGAAACGGCUUGAAAGACAAGACUAGGGACUGUUGCAAGGUUAGGCUGAAACGACUUGAAAGACAAGACUAGGGACUGUUGCAAGGUUAGGCUGAAACGACUUGAAAGACAAGACUAGGGACUGUUGCAAGGUUAGGCUGAAACGACUUGAAAGACAAGACUAGGGACUGUUGCAAGGUUAGGCUGAAACGACUUGAAAGACAAGACUAGGGACUGUUGCAAGGUUAGGCUGAAACGACUUGAAAGACAAGACUAGGGACUGUUGCAAGGUUAGGCUGAAACGACUUGAAAGACAAGACUAGGGACUGUUGCAAGGUUAGGCUGAAACGACUUGAAAGACAAGACUAGGGACUGUUGCAAGGUUAGGCUGAAACGACUUGAAAGACAAGACUAGGGACUGUUGCAAGGUUAGGCUGAAACGACUUGAAAGACAAGACUAGGGACUGUUGCAAGGUUAGGCUGAAACGACUUGAAAGACAAGACUAGGGACUGUUGCAAGGUUAGGCUGAAACGGCUUGAAAGACAAGACUAGGGACUGUUGCAAGGUUAGGCUGAAACGACUUGAAAGACAAGACUAGGGACUGUUGCAAGGUUAGGCUGAAACGACUUGAAAGACAAGACUAGGGACUGUUGCAAGGUUAGGCUGAAACGACUUGAAAGACAAGACUAGGGACUGUUGCAAGGUUAGGCUGAAACGACUUGAAAGACAAGACUAGGGACUGUUGCAAGGUUAGGCUGAAACGACUUGAAAGACAAGACUAGGGACUGUUGCAAGGUUAGGCUGAAACGACUUGAAAGACAAGACUAGGGACUGUUGCAAGGUUAGGCUGAAACGACUUGAAAGACAUGAAAAAUGAAAAAUUGUACAUUGUCGGAUUGUAAGGUUCUGAUCUCCUCUAUGAAUGUAAACGUUGUUUGACAAAAGCUACCAACUCUUUUAUAAGCACACGAGUGUAGUAUCCUAUAGCAGUGUUUGACUUGGACUGAAACAGGUGCCGUUUCUCAUGUUGGGGGCCAGUACUGUUUUAUAUUUAGAUGCAGUAGCUCCACAAAACCUUAAUAAGAGGAAUAGGAGCUCAAGCAGUAGACCAUGUGAGGUGUUGGCACUAUUAGAUAUAUUGAUGCAGUAGCUCCACAAAACCUUAAUAAUAUUCUACUAGAGGAAUAGGAGCUCAAACAGUAGACCAUGUGAGGUGUUGGCACUAUUAGAUAUAUUGAUGCAGUAGCUCCACAAAACCUUAAUAAUAUUCUACUAGAGGAAUAGGAGCUCAAACAGUAGACCAUGUGAGGUGUCGGUACUCAGCUCCAGUCAAACACUGAUGUAAAGAUGUAAAAUAAACAUAA